GCGGUGGCGGAGCGUCGUUUGCGACGCCCAACACACAAAACAAGCGGUGAGUGCUUUGGGGUGGGGUGACUGCGUACCUUUUGUAUAAUGGGUCAGCGACUUAUAUUCUGUAGCAAGGUUAACCGAAUAGGGGAGCCGGAGGGAAACCGAGUCUUAACCGGGCGUUAAGUUGCAGGGUAUAGACCCGAAACCCGGUGAUCUAGCCAUGGGCAGGUUGAAGGUUGGGUAACACUAACUGGAGGACCGAACCGACUAAUGUUGAAAAAUUAGCGGAUGACCUGUGGCUGGGGGUGAAAGGCCAAUCAAACCGGGAGAUAGCUGGUUCUCCCCGAAAGCUAUUUAGGUAGCGCCUCGUGAAUUCAUCUCCGGGGGUAGAGCACUGUUUCGGCUAGGGGGCCAUCCCGGCUUACCAACCCGAUGCAAACUGCGAAUACCGGAGAAUGUUAUCACGGGAGACACACGGCGGGUGCUAACGUCCGUCGUGAAGAGGGAAACAACCCAGACCGCCAGCUAAGGUCCCAAAGUCAUGGUUAAGUGGGAAACGAUGUGGGAAGGCCCAGACAGCCAGGAUGUUGGCUUAGAAGCAGCCAUCAUUUAAAGAAAGCGUAAUAGCUCACUGGUCGAGUCGGCCUGCGCGGAAGAUGUAACGGGGCUAAACCAUG
rnacentral:rRNA from 1 species